GUGUGUGUUUUUGGUGAGAGUCUCUGGUCCCCUGCAAUCUUUGCUAGCCUUUCGCCGUCUUCUGCGUCCACUUGGCUCCUUCCUUCUCUCUCUUGAAAACUUGAGUUCUUCUCUUUCUUCGAGCUCAGUUAGGAGCUUUUUAAAGAUCCCAACUUUUUUUGGUAACUUCUAUUAUGAUUCACAAUCAAAGUUUUCACCAUUUCUAAUGCAUUUGGAUUAGCAUACUUUUGCUUAUUCGAGAAGCUCUGAUUUCCUCAAAUUUCUCUUCUUUCUUAAUUGAUCUGUUAUUGAGUUUUUAUUGGUUGGUUACUGGGUUGGGAGGAUUUUUGAGCUGUUCUUCAAGUUUCAAGUUAAUUGCUUUACUGUUGUUUACUUUAGAAAAUCUGAUGAUCUGGGUUUUUCUGGUUUUUAAUUUUAAUGAUUAGAGAAGCCAAAAAGAUUCAUUUUCUGCUAUUUUUUAAGCUUAAAGCAGCUUAAUUUGGAAAUUUUCUUUUCUAUUUUUCUUUUUUAAAAAUUUCUGUAGGAUCUUUAGGAGCCAUUAAAGAAUAGGUUUGACUGGUACUUUAUAUUUAAUUAUAGGUUUUAUAUUAAUAUAUCUCUUACUGAUUACUGAUAAGGACUGGUGUAUUUAAAAAGAAAGAUUAUGUUCUGUAAAUUCUAUAACUGUAAAAGUAGCACUCUUUCCUUUUCUUUUUCUUUUAUUUUUAUCCUUUUAUUUCCCUUGUCAGUUAUACUAACUGGGAUUGUCUUAUAGUGUGGGGUUUUUGUCGAGUUUUUUUAUGUCUUGAAAACUCGUUGGCUCCAUAAAUGUUUUCCUUUUUUUUUCUUUUUUAGGUUCUUUGAACUUGUGCUAGAGUUAAAAGAGUAGUGUUUGGAAGGUACCAAUAAUGGUAAGUGAUUCAAUUUUGGGGAGUGUUUGAGCGAGAAAAAGCGGUGCCAACCCUUUCACCAUGCCUCUAUCUGAGCUAAUAUGUCGAUUGUCUAAAGGAAAGUUUGAUUCUUCCUCUCAGGAGAAGAAUACAACUUGCUCAACUGAUCUAUCUACUGGACCUGAAAAUGAUUUUCUUGAGCUAGUAUGGGAAAAUGGUCAAAUCCAGUCCAGUAGAGCUAGGAAAAUUUCUAAUGGAGUACAAUCUCAAACCUCCAAGUUUAGGGAUAAAGAUAUUAGUAUUGGCAUUGGCAAUGGCAACAACACAAAAAUGGGAAGGUUUGGGGCCAUGGACUUUGGACUAGAUGAAGUUCCUAUGUCUGUUCCGUCUGUUGAAAUGGGUUUGAAUCAAGAAGAUGACAUGGUUCCUUGGUUGAAUGAUCCAAUUGAUGACUCUUUGCAACAAGAUUAUUGUCAUGAGUUUCUUGCUGAAUUAUCUGGCGUUACUGUAAAUGAACAUGCCCAGAAUAGUUUUGCAUCAUCGGAUAAGAAAAGUAAUGGUAAUCAAUCAGUUAGAGACUCACAUACUGCCUCUGUACAUAAUGGCUUGAGUUUAGAGCAAGGGCACAUGCCAAGGGUUUCUUCAGGAAGGGAUGGUGAUGCAACUAGGUCUAGAACUACUGCGAGUCAGUUAUAUUCAUCAUCCGUGCAGCAAUGCCAAGCAUCAUUUCCACAUUUUAGGUCCCGAAUUUCAGCUAAUAAUGCUGAGAGUACAAAUAAUUCAACCCAUGUUGCUUCUUCUGGGGAUCCAAUACGAGGUUCACCGUCAGGAGGUGGUUUUCCUAGCAUAAAAGCGCAGAAGCAAGUUCCAGUCUUAGCCACUACUAACUCCAGUUUGAUGAAUUUCUCACAUUUCUCAAGACCUGUUGCUCUUGCUAAAGCUAAUUUUGAAAACAUCGGCACAAGGGCUGGUUCAGGAAUAUCAAGCAUAGAAAGAAUUGGAAGUCAAGAUAAGGGUUCAAUUGCAAGUAGUAGCAAUCCUGCAGAAUCCAUGCUCAAUGAGACAUUUAGUGGUUUAAAAAAGGAAACGAGCUCUCGUUGCCGUCCUGUUAUGGUAUCAUCCAAAGUUGAUGAUAAACCAUUGGACCAUAGGCCUGCUGAGGAACCCCUUCUAGCAAAGCAACCUGAGGCUAUGGAAAAUGACUGUAAGAAUGAUAAAAAUCAUUGUCAAUUUGCUGCAAGUGCAACAAAAGGAUUGGCAGAUGGUGAAAAGACUGCAGAACCUAUAGUAGCUUCUUCUUCUGUUUGCUCAGGGAAUAGUAUGGAGAGAGUUUCAGACGAACCAAUGCAGAAUUUGAAAAGAAAACACCGAGAAACAGAGGAGUCUGAAGGUCCUAGUGAAGAUGUUGAAGAGGAAUCAGUAGGUGGAAAGAAAGCAGCUCCUGCUCGAGGAGGUACAGGGUCAAAGAGAAGCCGAGCAGCAGAAGUACAUAAUUUGUCUGAAAGGAGGCGAAGGGAUAGAAUCAAUGAAAAGAUGCGCGCUCUACAAGAACUCAUACCAAACUGCAAUAAGGUGGACAAAGCUUCAAUGCUCGAUGAGGCUAUUGAGUAUUUAAAGACUCUUCAGCUUCAAGUGCAGAUUAUGUCAAUGGGAGCUGGUUUAUAUAUGCCAUCCAUGAUGUUGCCUCCAGGAGUGCCUCACAUGCAUGUUGCUCAUAUGUCCCAAUUCUCACCCAUGGGAGUGGGAAUGGGUUUUGGGAUGGGUAUGCCUGAUAUGAUUGGCGGUUCUUCUGGAUGCUCUAUGAUUCAGGUGCCUCCUAUGCAUGGGGCACACUUUCCUAGCCCACCAAUGUCAGGGCCAAGUGCUUUGCAUGGAAUGGGUGGAUCUAAUCUGCCAAUGUUUGGGCUUUCUAGUCAAGGACAUCCAAUGCCAUAUCUAUGUCCACCUGUAAUGCCAAUGUCUGGAGGACCACUUCUGAGAACUACCUUGGGACUGAAUGCUGGAGGGGUGGCAGGUCCCACGGAUAAUUUGGACUCAGCCCCAGGUUCUAGUUCAAAGGACUCAAUUCGUAAUGUCAACUCACACUCGAUACAAAAUGGUGGUGCCAAUAGUUCAAUGAAUCAGACAUCUACUCAGUGCCAAGUGACAAAUGAACGUUUUGAACAGCCUGCUUUGGUGCAGAGUAGUGCUCAAGCCUCAGAAGUUGAUAGUGGAGCUCUUAAGUCAGCUGAUGAAAAUGACAAUGCGCCUAGUGAAGCUAAUGCAGAUUGUGACUGACAGGCACUUCUGAUCAUCAUCAUUAAGAGGUGAAUCGAUCUAAAGAUCAAGGCUUUUCCUUGUUCAUGGCGAUUUGGGGCACAUAUGAAUGUUUCAGGGGGAUGGGAAUGGGAUGGACACUGAAUGAAGUUGAUUCGUAUUGACGAUCAUAUUGAACUCUAAUUUCAGGACAGUUAGAAUCCACAAAGAUUUUGGGUAUGACAACUACAUUCCUGUGAAGCAAUGAUCAAUCAUGUUAAUCUGCAAGCAUGGCCUUGCAUGAGACAUUUCAGGUAACAACGCUGAGGAUGAAAAGGAUGCCAGAUCAAUAUCCAUUAACAGGUUGACGAGGAAUUUAAAGAAGUGCAAGGAAAAAAGGAUAGAUAUUUAAGUAGCAGAAACCUCAGGUCAACUUACUAUUGAAGUACAACGAGCACAUAAAAUAUGUAAGAAUGACAAACUGUAUCUACAAAUCAAUCUUCACAACUGGAUAAGUUUUCUGUACUGUCAUAA